GGAGGAAGAAGGAAUUCAGCCAUGAGCAGAUGUCUGGGAGGGUCCAAAGAGAGUUCAGCAAGGAAAGCUACAAGACUGGGAAAUGCCUCACAAACCACUCAGACACUGGUCUCGGCUAGAUAUUGAUGGCUUAUUAACAGUCCUUUGUAACCUGAUUGGAUCAGGGCCACAGGUUUAGAACCAUCAAGGAGACAAGUCUCUGAGCUUUCUGGAGUGCUUUCCUGAGAGUGAGAAGACUCAACUUGAAUGUGAGUGUCACCAUCCCAUGAGCCAAGUCUGGGGAAUUAAAAGGAGAAGCGAUCCAAGAGUGGACGAGCAUGUGUGUCUUGGCUUUCUAGCUGUGGACACAGUGUCCCCAGAACAGAUUUGUUUCCCUUGCUGGCUCUGAAGAAACCAAGUCAGAAAAACUCAUCUGGCAAGGAUCUAUGGCUGUGAUGGAGUUGAGCCUGGUCUCCAGCCAACAGCUUGCAAGAAGUGAAGGUAUCAAUCCUUCAGACCCACAGCUGUGAGGAACUGAAUUCUACAUACAGCUUACUUGAGCUUGGAAAUAGAUCAUUUCCAUGGAAGCCUUAAGUGCGUUGUGAGCCCCAUUGGAUACUCCAACUGCAUCUUUGCGAGUUCCUGACAAUGAGCUUAUAGCAAAGUCAUGUCUUAACUCUGGGCCACUGAAAUUGGAACAUAAUAAAUUCAUCAUUCUAAGCUGCUGGACUUGUAGCAACACUCAAUUUAGAAGGACUUACAUUUUCUCUUGGUAAUCUCAAUGCUAAUUAUGGAGUUCCAAGAGGUAGGCCUUCAUGCUAAGACUAUGGAAGCUGUCAGCAAUAAGGUUCUCAACUCCUCUUAUGGUCUAGUCUAUAAUGUAAAGCACACGA